rnacentral:tRNA from 1 species
GGGGAUGUAGCUCAGUGGCACAGUGCCUGCCUGAAAAGCAUGAGAUUGUGAGUUCUAUCCCCA